rnacentral:rRNA from 1 species
GACGAACGCUUGCGGCGUGCUUAACACAUGCAAGUCGAACGGAAAGGCCCUGCUUGCAGGGUGCUCGAGUGGCGAACGGGUGAGUAACACGUGGGUGAUCUGCCCCUUACUUUGGGAUAAGCCUGGGAAACUGGGUCUAAUACUGGAUAGGACCAUGCUGUAGGUGGUGUGGUGGAAAGAUUAGUUUCGGUAAGGGAUGAGCUCGCGGCCUAUCAGCUUGUUGGUGGGGUAAUGGCCUACCAAGGCGUCGACGGGUAGCCGGCCUGAGAGGGUGGACGGCCACAUUGGGACUGAGAUACGGCCCAGACUCCUACGGGAGGCAGCAGUGGGGAAUAUUGCACAAUGGGCGCAAGCCUGAUGCAGCGACGCCGCGUGGGGGAUGACGGCCUUCGGGUUGUAAACUCCUUUCAGCCAUGACGAAGCCCUUGUGGUGACGGUAGUGGUAGAAGAAGCACCGGCUAACUACGUG